ensembl:rRNA 5S_rRNA 5S ribosomal RNA
UUUAGGCAUACCACCCUGAACACACCGGAUCUCAUCUGAUCUCAGAAGCUAAGCAGGGUCGGGCCUGGUUAGUACUUGGAUGGGAGGCCAAUUGAGUUCUUACUUAGAC